rnacentral:misc_RNA from 1 species
UCUUAAAAUAAAGCCUAGCGUCAUAAUCCCUCCACGUUUUUUCAAAGAAAAACAUGCAUUUCAAGGCGCUAUGGAUUUCAAAGACCAUGGAUUUACUCAGAACUUAUGGGUUUUAAAAAAGGCUUUAAAAGGAAAUAACUAAAAAACUUUUCCAGUAAUUUAAGAUGAUACCGGGGAAGGUUUUCCGGUUUAUCCCGGAGGGCUUGUAGCUCAGUUGGU